AUGAGAUGGGUUGAUUGGCAGUAUAUCAAGGACAAUGAAGAGUACUACCCUGGAGUGCAGGACAGCUUUAAGGCGUGUGGAGUAGAGGACUUUGUUGGGCAGAAGCUCACAAAGUGGAACGAGGAACUCAUCAUGCAGUUCUACUCCACAGCCCACUUUUAUCCAGAUGGUAGGAUAACUUGGAUGUCAGAGGGUACGAGGUACCAGUCCACAGUUGCUGAAUGGGCUCAGCUGAUCAAUGCUCCAGAAGAGCAGGAUGAUGACUUGGACAUCUAUGCCAAGAAAAAGAUGGACCACAACUCUAUGUCCAACAUGUACAAGGAGAUUCCGAAUGAAGCACUUGACACGUUCAAGUUUGGCUCAAUGCAUUAUCUUCUAUCAGGACUGCCCACUAUCAACUGGAUACUGAGGCACACCCUACUGCCCAAGUCUAGAGAUCACAAGAUGAUCAGAGGCCACGCGAUAAAUUUGCUUCAUGUGUUUGAUGUGCCUCAGAAGUUCAAAGUCAUGAGCCUCAUAGUGGAAACAAUCAAGAGGACUGCAGCAGAUCAGAAGAGGAGCUGUGGAUAUGCCCCUCUGAUUCAGGAGCUCAUCAACUCCAAGAUGGGCACGGGCGUAUAUUUAUUGGAUAAGGAACACCUGCCCAUCCGUCCAGACUUCGAAGAUAAUCAAGUGGUCAUGACUGAGAAUGAGCCAUCAUCUGCCCAAGCACAAGCCAAGAAGGAGAAGGCGAAGAAGGAGAAAGCUGCCAGGAUGCCCACUCAAGAGGAGGCAUCUGAAUACUUCCUGAAAACCAAACAAGAGCAGCUUGGUUACCUGAUUGCGUCCACCCUGCGGAUUGAGCAAGGACUAGCCACCCUGACUCAGAACCAGGCAAGCUUAGAGAGGAUCAUGGAACAAAGGUUCUAUGACUUGGACAUCAAGGUGACAGAGAUACAGACUGUCGUGGAGCAGCUCCAGGAUGACAUGAAUGGGAGGAGAGGCAGGACUACGACUGAUGCCUUUGCCAGGGUGCCACGAGGUCCGAGGUCGUCUGCAGUGACAGUUGCUGACACCAGAGCCACCACGUCUGCACUAGCUACAGCCUCAGUUCCACCAGCUCCAGCGUCCACUUCAGCCUCGACUCCGACCACGUCUACUAAAGGCUUCGUCCUUGGAGUGCUCCGGACUCCACCACCACCUGAAGAUCAAGCCUGA
rnacentral:rRNA from 1 species